UUCUCAACCCCAUCCAUCUCAAAAUGUAUGCUUAUUGGCGACUUCCUGCAUACAUAUAUCAAAAAAUG
ensembl:ncRNA F14F11.3 ncRNA